rfam:Saccharibacillus sacchari DSM 19268 genomic scaffold SacsacDRAFT_Scaffold1.1, whole genome shotgun sequence.
UUUGGUGGUGAUGGCAGAGGGGUUCCACACGUUCCCAUCUCGAACACGACCGUUAAGCCCUCUAACGCCGAUGGUACUUGGACCGCAGGGUCCCGGGAGAGUAGGAAGCUGCCAAGC